rnacentral:rRNA from 1 species
UACGUAGGGUGCGAGCGUUGUCCGGAAUUACUGGGCGUAAAGAGCUCGUAGGUGGUUUGUCGCGUUGUCCGUGAAAACUCACAACUCAAUUGUGGGCGUGCGGGCGAUACGGGCAGACUGGAGUACUGCAGGGGAGACUGGAAUUCCUGGUGUAGCGGUGGAAUGCGCAGAUAUCAGGAGGAACACCAAUGGCGAAGGCAGCUCUCUGGGACGGUACUGACGCUGAGACGCGAAAGCGUGGGGAGCGAACAGG